rnacentral:rRNA from 1 species
ACGCUGGCGGCAUGCUUUACACAUGCAAGUCGGACGGCAGCACAGAGAAGCUUGCUUCUUGGGUGGCGAGUGGCGAACGGGUGAGUAAUAUAUCGGAACGUACCGAGUAAUGGGGGAUAACUAAUCGAAAGAUUAGCUAAUACCGCAUAUUCUCUGAGGAGGAAAGCAGGGGACCUUCGGGCCUUGCGUUAUUCGAGCGGCCGAUAUCUGAUUAGCUAGUUGGUGGGGUAAAGGCCUACCAAGGCGACGAUCAGUAUCGGGUCUGAGAGGAUGAUCCGCCACACUGGGACUGAGACACGGCCCAGACUCCUACGGGAGGCAGCAGUGGGGAAUUUUGGACAAUGGGCGCAAGCCUGAUCCAGCCAUGCCGCGUGUCUGAAGAAGGCCUUCGGGUUGUAAAGGACUUUUGUCAGGGAAGAAAAGGCUGUUGCUAAUACCGACAGCUGAUGACGGUACCUGAAGAAUAAGCACCGGCUAACUACGUGCCUGCAGCCGCGGUAAUACGUAGGGUGCGAGCGUUAAUCGGAAUUACUGGGCGUAAAGCGAGCGCAGACGGUUACUUAAGCAGGAUGUGAAAUCCCCGGGCUCAACCUGGGAACUGCGUUCUGAACUGGGUGACUAGAGUGUGUCAGAGGGAGGUAGAAUUCCACGUGUAGCAGUGAAAUGCGUAGAGAUGUGGAGGAAUACCGAUGGCGAAGGCAGCCUCCUGGGAUAACACUGACGUUCAUGCUCGAAAGCGUGGGUAGCAAACAGGAUUAGAUACCCUGGUAGUCCACGCCCUAAACGAUGUCAAUUAGCUGUUGGGCAACUUGAUUGCUUAGUAGCGUAGCUAACGCGUGAAAUUGACCGCCUUGGGGAGUACGGUCGCAAGAUUAAAACUCAAAGGAAUUGACGGGGACCCGCACAAGCGGUGG